CAGCCGCCGCGGUAAUACGUAGGGUGCGAGCGUUAAUCGGAUUUACUGGGCGUAAAGCGUGCGCAGGCGGCCCGUUAAGACAGGUGUGAAAUCCCUGGGCUCAACCUAGGAAUUGCGCUUGUGACUGGCGGGCUCGAGUACGGUAGAGGGGGGUGGAAUUUCUGGUGUAGCAGUGAAAUGCGUAGAGAUCAGGAGGAACACCGAUGGCGAAGGCAGCCCCCUGGGCCUGUCCUGACGCUCAUGCACGAAAGCGUGGGGAGCAAACAGGAUUAGAUACCCGGGUAGUCCACGCCCUAAACGAUGGGUACUAGCCGUUUGGUGCGCGAUAGCGCUGAGUGGCGAAGCUAACGCGUGAAGUACCCCGCCUGGGGAGUACGGCCGCAAGGUUGAAACUUAAAGGAAUUGGCGGG
rnacentral:rRNA from 1 species